rnacentral:misc_RNA from 1 species
UUAAUUUAUUUGCUUGUGUCACUCAGAAGAUACACAUCAGAGACAAAGAGUUUGGGUCCUCCGGCGGGCGCCCGAGUCCGGGCCCGAGGGCGCCGGGGCAUUUCCCGCCGAAGCAACGAUAGGUAUGUUCACAGGGGUUUGGGAGUUGUAAACUCGAUAAUGAUCCCUCCGCUGGUUCACCUACGGAAA